rnacentral:lncRNA from 1 species
AAUUCGAGGAAGAAGAAGGGUAGUAUAGAAUUUUAUAAUAAGUUUAAUAUCUUAGAAUUUCCAGACAUAUACAUGUUGAAAUGUGCCACAAAGGCCUAUAUUUUGACCUUUGAAAAUAUGAACACUCCAUUUUAGGAUAUGAUUUUUUAUGUAACCUCAUAAUAUAAGUGGCACAGUUUUAGUUGUAGAAGAGUUCCUAUGGGAAAUUGUAUUGUGUAGUUUAUAGAAGUUCAUCCUAUAGAUUUCAUUCUAUUAGCUACUGUAACACCAAUGUUAUCUAUUACUUGUUCUUGUCACUAUAGCAUUUUCUUUAAUUGAACAAAUUCUUUCAAAGCAGUUUGGGUGAGUUUCCUAUAAUGAAAUUUUGAAUAUUGUUUAAAAUUGCUUAUUCUUUCUAAAAAAAUUUAAACUACUACAUAAAUCAACAAGAAUGUGUCCAAAGUACACGGAUGCCCCACUCGCACUAUCCUUUUCCAUGUUCCAUGGACCGUGAAAUUGGGUAAUUAUCUAAUUUGGCAUUAAAAUUAGAAAGAUCAUAUCAUAAGCAACAAGUGUACUAAGUUUCAAGUUGAUUGGACUUCAGCUUCA